GUGAGGGGGCUAUACAUUAGGUUGUACACAUAGCAACCUCAUAUUGUAAGUAUCAUGUGCUGGUCUUACAUUGAUAAUUUUUGAAAACACCAAUUUGGGUCGUGAUUUUGAAUUCUAACCUACAUAAAAGGCAUUAUCUUGUUAAAAAUUUCUAUUAUUUGAAGUACAUGUUGCAGGUCAUAUCCUCAUUUCAUCAUAGUUGUUUGCCAUAUAGUAUGAUAAAUUCAUCGAAUGUUGUGUAAAAUCACUAUUUUCUUUCCAAAAAGAAAUGGACUCACAACAAUCAGAUUUUCGAGGGGCAUAAUAAAAGGUUCUAUAUGCGCUCGAAGGCGUAAAAUAGGAAAGUUCCGGCAUAAUAGUGCCCCAAGGCAAAGAGCAAGCGAAGCUGCAAACAAAGACCCCUUAGGAUAACAAAAAAGAAUAUCAUCUAUAUUCUUGUUAUGGAUUGUAAUGUGAUUGUAGCUAGUUUUAAGAAGAUAUAAUGUCUGUGACUAACCAUUAUGCGGAAUAAUUCACAUUUAAUUAGUUUUUCAUUUUUCCUUGGAUAAUACAUACAUUUUCACAUCAUACACGUGCUAGGACUUUUAAUUUUUUUUAUUUAUUUUUUAGAUGCAGACAUGGACUUCGUGAACGUCUUCAUGACCUACAAUGUGAUGGCAUUUGGACUUUUAUUACCUAGUGGAUGUAAGUCUGCGAAACUUGUUGAAAUGAUAUUCGUUAAGAUGAAAAUAGAUAUAUAAAAGGUCUGCGUGCUUGAAAAUUGAUUGCGCUGUAGGUGGUAACAUGGCCUCGGUGAGGGUAACCACUAACAACGCACUUUUAUUCUACAUGGAGCUGAGUAAGAAGGAUCCUCUGAUUACUUCAUAUGCACUUUAUAUUGUAGUAGUGAACCUGUAGAAACAAAAAUGAGGUUUUUUUUUUUUUUUUUUUUUUCAGCAUGUAAUUGUUUUUCAUUUUCACGAUUUAUAGGAAUUAGACAAUGCACUGCAAAUUCGCUCGAUGACUUCUUAGAGAACAGAGAGUGGUACUUUUAAAAUUGACUUGGUCAAACCAUUCAAUUUCUACUUUGAGUUUUAAACAAUUGAAUAUUUCCACAAUGACCACUUGAUUAUUAAAAGACAAAGAUACCUUUAAAUAUGUUGUACAAUUACAAAAUAUUGUUUUGUUUAAAAGACAUUAUUAUCUUUGUAGUUAACAAGUACAAAACAAUUCCUCCUUAAAAUUUCAAAACCAGAAAACUUUUCUUAUCGGUUUAUUCCAACACAAUAAAAUUUCUCUAAUUUCUCAUCCGCUUCAACCUUAAAAUGUCAGUAAUUUAUCGAAUGCUAAACAAAAAAAUAUUUUUUGAUAUUAAUCACUUCGAAUCGGUUAGCAUAUUUACGUAUCGUUAAUUUCAUUUUCGUUAGAUUAGUACACAUUUUCAUUGAUAAAUCUUAUCUUGACAUGGUUAAUACUUGUACAAAAUUUUUUACAAGAUCUAUAAUUUUAAGCAUGAACAAGAAAAAAUUCAUCUGUAUGUUGAGUUCGGUUGACUGAGCCGACUGUCCUGUAAAAUUUUUUUUAAAAUAAAUUUUGCCCUGUAAAUUGAGCCAAAUUUUUGAAUCUUUUUUCCUAUAAUUAAAACUUCUAUUUCGUGACACAGAUAUGGUUGUCAUCCCGAUUUGUUACUUUGUUGAUGUGUUGAUGUUAAAUUGAUUGAAAAUGGUCGAUGGGUAUGGAAAUAGACGAGUGAUAUACAUGGUGAUAUUCCAAUUUUCGUAACAGAGAGUAUAUCAAACGCGAAAAUGUGUCAUGAUUUACAAAACAAGCUCAAUGUCGAUCCCUCUCAGUAUGAUAUGGAACUGAGAUUUUUAUUCAAAGGGCAUUCAUCUAUUCCAAUUUCACCUAUGAAGUUUACUUCUGAUGCUAAAGUGAAUUAUAUAUUAGGAUUGAAAAAAAUGCACACAACUCCGACUGCUAUUUGCAUGACUUUAGUGAAGAAGGAUGUCGUCGAAGGUGAACAUAAAGAUUCGAAUGGAACGGAUAAGAAUGCCAAUGAUUUUUGGGACACGAUGGAGAUAGCUUGUGAGAAUGAUGUAGUCAUUCCCGAAACAGUUGCUCCUUAUAGCGAUCUCGCUGUUAUGCACAGAAUUUCGUCGGUAGUUCAUGACGACGAGAAUGAACAUAUAUUUACAAAUGAAAAUUUGAUUGUUUUAUCCUGUCAAAGACAUGAGGGGGUGAGAGCUCAGGGAUUGGAUCAAAUGGACUGUCCUCUAAUUCUUUGUUCGUGGUUCAUAAUGAUGAUGAUUUGUAUGUCGAGCAACUAUUUGAAACAAAGAAAGAUUGUCAAAAGUUGUGCAUUGGAUGACAUUAAAAUACAACUUUGAGUUCAAGGUAAAGAAAUCAAACAAGUCCUUCUUGAUGAGUAUUUGCGUCGAUGACAAUUGCCGUUGGCGCUUGUAAAUGACUAAGAUGGAGACGAAUGAGUUAUUUAUGGUUCGCAAAUAUACACAAGAAUAUACUUGUGAAGUAAAAAUUAAUCGAAAUGAUCACAGGCAAGCUCAAUCAUGGUUUAUUAGUCGAUAGAUAAUGUUCAAGUAUCAGGACCCACGUAAAAUCUAUAGACUUUUGGACAUCAUUAACAUCAUUCGUCGAGAGUACGGAGUGGUAAUGAGCUAUUAUAAGGCUUACAAGGCCAAAUAAUAUGCGUUGGAGGAUUUAAUGGGCUCGACCGAGGAAAGUUAUGCUAAAUUGACUAGGUAUUGCCAUAACAUGGGGAAAACUAAUCCUAGCUCUACAUUUUUUAUUGAGGCAGAGGGUGAGAAUUGUUUUAAGUUUUUCCCCAUGGCUCUUGGACAAUGUAUUUGGGGAUUUUGAAAUGUAAUACGACCCAUAAUUCUAGUCAAUGGUAUAAAUCAUAAAGUUAGAUACCAAGGCAAGUUGAUUAUUGCGACAUGUCAAGACACCAACAUUCAAAUUUACCCUCUUGCAUUUGGCAUAGUCGAUAGUGAGAAUGAUCUAUCGAUGCGUUAGUUCUUUACAAAGUUGAGGUAAGUGAUCGGUGAAGUUGAGGAACUUGCUUUUGUAACUGAUUAGGAACCGUCUAUAAUAAAUGGUACACUGAAGUUUUUCCCGAGGCACAUCAUGGAUAUUGCAUAUACUAUAUAUAAGGUAAUCUGAAGACUAGGUAUCGGGGCAAUGGUAUCGUUUAAUUGUUCACGAAAGCGGCUGAGCUUACAGUGUUGAGGACUAUAAUGAGUUCAAUGAUCAAAAUUGAAAUUAAAUGAUUCUCGGCAUGAGAUUAUCUAAUAAAAAUGGGGAUCAAACAUUGGGCAUGGUCACAUUUUCUAGGACAUCGAUACAACAUGGUGACGUUGAACAACGCAAAGUUUCUCAAUGUACUGUUCAAGAAGGAUUGAGAGUUACAAAUUCUCACAAUGAUCAUAAACAUUCAUAACAAGCUGUAGCAAUGAUUUUAUGAUCAACGUGCAGAAUCACAGAGUUGUAUGAGCAUGCUAACCCCGACUCAAGAAGGCAAACUCUUUAAGGCUGUAGAGGUUGAGAGAAAGUUAAAUGUGGAAGCACUGGAUAUGUUGCGCUUCUCCAUAAAAUGUGCACGUAAUACGGUAUAUAUGGUGGACUUGACUGAUAACACAUGCACUUGUAGUCGAUUUCAGUUUGAGAGUUUUCCAUGUGAGCAUACAGUCGCUGUAGCUAUAUAUCAAGGCUUUUCAUCGAAAACAUUAUGCUCUCCUUAUUACAUGAACGAUUCUUGGAUAGUAGCGUAUGCUGAAACUAUAUUUUCACUACCGAAUUAAGCCGAAUGCGAAGUUCUCGAUCAUAUUCCCCCACUUAAUACAUUGUUGCCACAAGAAGUUGAACAACGUGGUCUUAAACGUCCACGUACGUCUAGAAUACCAUUUACUGAAAAGUUUUUUCAACAACAUAGGCACGAUAGGUGCAGAGCAAUAUAGCAUACUCACCAGUUUUGUACAAGUCAUAUUGUCUUAAAUGACAAUUAGACCAGUGUGUAAUGAUGUCGAUGUUAAAUGAACAGUAUUUACGUCUAUUCGUAAUUAAAUAAGCAAUUAUUUCAUAAUUACAAAAAAAAAUUAGUGUAUAAUAUUUACAUUAAUUUUACAUUAUUUACAAUUAUUGCACAACAACGAAAAAAAUUCAAAGUACAAUGUUUACAUGAAUUUAACAGUAUUUACAAUUAUUUCAUGAUUAAAAAAAGAAUUAAUAUACAAUAUUUACGGAUCACAAUUAAAUUUGUAUAAAUCACAUACUAACUUACUCCUCCAAAUAUGUAUCCACGAUUGGUUGAUUCAAUCAACAUUAUGUGCUAUACUAAAAAAUUCAAUGUACUUUUAUACGACCAUGUCGCAGUCGCCAUGCAAUUGAACAAUAAUGUGCUAGUUCGAUAUUGUGUAGCUAAAAACUAAUUCUUAAAUUAAAAAAAUUACAAACACUUACGAGAUGGACUGUCUCAUCGUCGUGUCUCGCACGAUGGUUAGUCUGUCAUGCACAGUCAUCCUAGCUCGUCUACCAAUCAGAGGAACGAUCAGAACCACGGACUUCAAGUUUUGCUGGAGCUGACCCUGUGUGACAUGAAUGAUCGGGAUCGUACAUAUAUAUAGUCGAGUCAGUGAAGAUUAUCUCCAUGAUAAUGCAGUAAUGAUUCACAAUCACUAAAAUGUACACAUGCGUACAACUCAUGGAUUUUCCCCGACAUUCGACGACAUCAUGAUGUCAUGGAACCACUUGUAAGAGUUCGAUAUCAUCCUUUGAGCUAUCGUGCGGCUAGCUCCGAAAAAAUAGAGAAAAUGUUAAAAGAAGCAUAUACGAGUUAGUGUAGCAUACUUUUACUAAAAUCAUACAAUACUUACCAGGGUAAAAUUAUUCUCCAUUCCGUCUCGAACGCUUUUCAUUCGGCAUGGUCUACCUCCCGAAAAAGGUUGAGGUAUGUACUGUCGAUGAACCUCCUCAUUUUUCCCUCAGUUGUGAAGGAAGAGAUGAUAUACUGUGAGACAUAUAAUCCUUAUACCGACCACAUGCUCCAGCACGUCCUCACCUCCUCGAACUCGGGGAUUGCCACCUCCUUAGGGCUCGCCACCCCAUUUAUCCUCCAUCUUUCUCGUCCCCAUCAUGGCCAUUCCCUCCGUCGUCCCCUCCUUCAUCACCUUUCUCGUCUCCGAUGUGGCCACCCGUUCCUACUCCACAGAUAACAAAAAUUACUCUAUUGCAUCAUUUGACCACAACUGUGAGUGAUACUUCUCUCCGUCACCCUCUCCGGUACCCAUCACCUGUCUACUAUAUCACCUUGAAGUACUGCGAUCUCAUCUUGAAGGUCUACAUAAUGGCUACGUAGCACUCCAAUAUUGUAAGAUAAAUCGUUGACUCUUACUAUCAAUUGUCGUCCCAACGCUCGACCUCCUCUGCUAUAAAUCCUAUGAACUCUCGUCGCAACUUGCUAACCUCAUUUGUCAUAAAUCCAGUUAGGUGGACACAUAGAUCAUUGAAAUAAUGACCCUGACUAUGUGUAGGUUAUCCACAUGGAAGGUCUUGGAUGGGGAAGAAGAAGAUUCCUCGGUGGAAGUGAUGCCCCCGGCCAAAGUAAUGCCCUCGGCGGAGGAGAUCUUUGAUUGACUAGACCGCACUCGUAUACAAAAAAGAAGAUAUCGAUGUCGUCAACAAUCUUUGGCCCCACGGAUAAUUGUUGAAGGUAUCGAUAUCAUCAACGAUUUUCAAAUAGAAGAGGUCGAUCAUAGCCUUCUUGUGAUGACGCCACACCACGCUCUUGAGGAUGUAGACCAGUCUUAGCUUCAGUCCGUCUAACAUCUGGUCACAUCCCCUGAUUAUGCCAAUUAGCUACCAUAGAAACACCAUCCCUUGUCCCUGCAAAUAAGCCUCGUGCAGCCUGUAGCUUUUCUGGGUGCCAUUAUGAGCUGUUUCAUUGCUCGUAAUUUUUAGUCCGGUCAUUAGGGCAAACUUGAACAAGGAGAACGUAUGGACCUUGUCCCCGUGGUCGAAGUGGAAGGCACCAUCGUUAACUGGCCCGAGCAGCCAACACAGUAGUGCACCAAUGAUCUCCCCAGAGUAUGGGACCUCCCUCAACUAAUAUAGGGGCCAGAGGGAAGACUAACAUAGAUUACCCAUAUACUGGUCAUCCAGCAGCUUUAGUGCUGCAUUGAAACUGUCAAAGCUAUUGUUCUAAGUAACUUUCCUAGGCAACCAUCUCAACUCCUCAUUCAAAUGGUAUUCCACCCUGUAAAAAUUCAAAUGUUAGAACAUUGGACAAGAGAUUAUAGAAUAAAGUAUAAUCUCAGAAAAUUAAGCGAAUCAAGUUGUAACUACUAUACGCAAAAUCUAAGUUCAUUUUACACCAAUAUUAAUAAAAAACUAAAUGAAUUGCAGACAAAAAUUUAAAAAACGUUAUUACAAUUUUAAUUAAAAUUAUAAGAAAAAAAGGAGAAAAAAGGGGGAAAAAAAGAUAACACAAUAGCAAAGGAAAGAUGGAAAAAAGAAAGAAAAAGGAAAAAAGGGUCA
rnacentral:lncRNA from 1 species